rnacentral:rRNA from 1 species
UACAGAGGGUGCGAGCGUUAAUCGGAAUUACUGGGCGUAAAGCGUGCGUAGACGGUUAUUUAAGUCGGGUGUGAAAGCCCUGGGCUCAACCUGGGAACUGCAUUGGAAACUGGCUUACUAGAGUGCGGUAGAGGGGUGUGGAAUUCCCGGUGUAGCAGUGAAAUGCGUAGAUAUUGGGAGGAACACCAGUGGCGAAGGCGGCUCACUGGACCGGUUCUGACGCUGAGGCGCGAAAGCGUGGGGAGCAAACGGG